rnacentral:rRNA from 1 species
UACGAAGGGGGCUAGCGUUAAUCGGAAUUACUGGGCGUAAAGCGUGCGCAGGCGGUGAUGUAAGACAGAUGUGAAAUCCCCGGGCUCAACCUGGGAACUGCAUUUGUGACUGCAUCGCUGGAGUACGGCAGAGGGGGAUGGAAUUCCGCGUGUAGCAGUGAAAUGCGUAGAUAUGCGGAGGAACACCGAUGGCGAAGGCAAUCCCCUGGGCCUGUACUGACGCUCAUGCACGAAAGCGUGGGGAGCAAACAGG